GAGCCAGAAUGUGGAAGGAUCCUGCUCUCUUUCAUCUCCACAUGGCUCUCACACUAGCUGGGUGAGUUCUUCUUAUGGCGAUGGCACAGAAUUAAGAAAGGAGUGCAACAGCGAAGUAGUGAGAAGGAAGGACAUAAGGAGGACGGGGGCAUUAAAAGGAGACACAGAAAAGCAAGAAGGGAACCCCAGAUCCUGACUUCACAGUUCAUUAUACUUAGUUUUUUCUUCCUCCUUUUGGUGAACCUCCCAGGAAUGGUUUGAGGAAUUGGAUGGCAGCCAGGCUCUACAUUCAUCAAGAAGAGGUUAGCUUGGGGCAGAUCAGGGAGCGUAGGGGUGUAAACAUCGCCUGAAGACUAAUAACUUGGCAGAUAUUAUUUUGAGUAGAUAGGAAGAGAUGUUUCCUAAGCCAACCCUAAUGAUGAAUGGUGCUAGAUGGAGUGCCAUUCGCUUAUUAACCACUGGGUUUAGUAUAAGAUGUAUGCCAUCCUGGCAAUCAGUCCUAGGUUAGCAUCUUAUUUCCUGAGUGGUGAAUGGAAAAUGUCCUCACUGACAGGAAAAAGUGUGGAAGGGUGUGAUGGCUAUUGGUUAGAUCAAAAGCUAAUUUGAGGCUAUUUCGGUUGCUAGAAGGGAGGGGGGUAGGGAUGAGA